rnacentral:rRNA from 1 species
GGUUAAGUUAGAAAGGGCGCACGGUGGAUGCCUUGGCACUAGGAGCCGAAGAAGGACGGGACUAACACCGAUAUGCUUUGGGGAGCUGUACGUAAGCGUUGAUCCAGAGAUUUCCGAAUGGGGGAACCCACUAUCUUUAGUCGGAUAGUAUCCUUACGUGAAUACAUAGCGUGAGGAAGGCAGACCCAGGGAACUGAAACAUCUAAGUACCUGGAGGAAGAGAAAGAAAAAUCGAUUUCCUGAGUAGCGGCGAGCGAAACGGAAAGAGCCCAAACCAAGAAGCUUGCUUCUUGGGGUUGUAGGACACUCUAUACGGAGUUACAAAAGAAAGUUAUAAAUGAAGCGGUCUGGAAAGGCCCGCCAAAGACGGUAACAGCCCGGUAGUUGAAAUGGCUUUCCCUCCAGAGUGGAUCCUGAGUACGGCGGAACACGUGAAAUUCCGUCGGAAUCCGGGAGGACCAUCUCCCAAGGCUAAAUACUCCCUAGUGACCGAUAGUGAACCAGUACCGUGAGGGAAAGGUGAAAAGCACCCCGGAAGGGGAGUGAAACAGUUCCUGAAACCGUGUGCCUACAAGUAGUUAGAGCCCGUUAAUGGGUGAUAGCGUGCCUUUUGUAGAAUGAACCGGCGAGUUACGAUUUGUUGCAAGGUUAAGCGGAAAAAGCGGAGCCGUAGCGAAAGCGAGUCUGAAUAGGGCGCAUAAGUAACAGGUCGUAGACCCGAAACCAGGUGAUCUACCCAUGUCCAGGAUGAAGGUAAGGUAAUACUUACUGGAGGUCCGAACCCACGCACGUUGAAAAGUGCGGGGAUGAGGUGUGGGUAGCGGAGAAAUUCCAAUCGAACUUGGAGAUAGCUGGUUCUCUCCGAAAUAGCUUUAGGGCUAGCCUCGAGGUAAAGAGUCAUGGAGGUAGAGCACUGUUUGGACUAGGGGCCCUUCUCGGGUUACCGAAUUCAGAUAAACUCCGAAUGCCAUGUACUUAUACUCGGGAGUCAGACUGCGAGUGAUAAGAUCCGUAGUCGAAAGGGAAACAGCCCAGACCACCAGUUAAGGUCCCCAAAUAUAUGUUAAGUGGAAAAGGAUGUGGGGUUGCUUAGACAACCAGGAUGUUGGCUUAGAAGCAGCCACCAUUGAAAGAGUGCGUAAUAGCUCACUGGUCGAGUGACCCCGCGCCGAAAAUGUACCGGGGCUAAACAUAUUACCGAAACUGUGGAUGAACCUCUUUAGAGGUUCGUGGUAGGAGAGCGUUCUAAGGGCGGUGAAGUCAGACCGGAAGGACUGGUGGAGCGCUUAGAAGUGAGAAUGCCGGUAUGAGUAGCGAAAGAAGGGUGAGAAUCCCUUCCACCGAAUAUCUAAGGUUUCCUGAGGAAGGCUCGUCCGCUCAGGGUUAGUCGGGACCUAAGCCGAGGCCGAUAGGCGUAGGCGAUGGACAACAGGUAGAGAUUCCUGUACCAGUGCUAAUUGUUUAACCGAUGGGGUGACACAGAAGGAUAGGGAAUCGCACGAAUGGAAAUGUGCGUCCAAGCAGUGAGUGUGAGAAGUAGGCAAAUCCGCUUCUCNNNNNNNNNNNNNNNNNNNNNNNNNNNNNNNNNNNNNNNNNNNNNNNNNNNNNNNNNNNNNNNNNNNNNNNNNNNNNNNNNNNNNNNNNNNNNNNNNNNNCGAAGCAUGAGCUGUGAUGGGGAAGGAAAUUAAGUACGGAAGUUCCUGAUUUCACGCUGUCAAGAAAAGCCUCUAGGAAGAGUAGUACUGCCCGUACCGCAAACCGACACAGGUAGAUGAGGAGAGAAUCCUAAGGUGAGCGAGAGAACUCUCGUUAAGGAACUCGGCAAAAUGACCCCGUAACUUCGGGAGAAGGGGUGCUCUAUUAGGGUGCAAGCCCGAGAGAGCCGCAGUGAAUAGGCCCAGGCGACUGUUUAGCAAAAACACAGGUCUCUGCAAAACCGUAAGGUGACGUAUAGGGGCUGACGCCUGCCCGGUGCUGGAAGGUUAAGAGGAGUGCUUAGCUUCGGCGAAGGUACGAAUUGAAGCCCCAGUAAACGGCGGCCGUAACUAUAACGGUCCUAAGGUAGCGAAAUUCCUUGUCGGGUAAGUUCCGACCCGCACGAAAGGCGCAACGAUCUGGGCACUGUCUCAACGAGAGACUCGGUGAAAUUAUAGUACCUGUGAAGAUGCAGGUUACCCGCGACAGGACGGAAAGACCCCGUGGAGCUUUACUGCAACCUGAUAUGGAAUGUUUGUACCGCUUGUACAGGAUAGGUAGGAGCCGAAGAGACGUGUGCGCUAGCAUACGAGGAGGCAAUGGUGGGAUACUACCCUGGCUGUAUGACCAUUCUAACCCGCCACGCUUAGCGCGUGGGGAGACAGUGUCAGGUGGGCAGUUUGACUGGGGCGGUCGCCUCCUAAAGAGUAACGGAGGCGCCCAAAGGUUCCCUCAGAAUGGAUGGAAAUCAUUCGCAGAGUGUAAAGGCACAAGGGAGCUUGACUGCGAGACUGACAAGUCGAGCAGGGACGAAAGUCGGGCUUAGUGAUCCGGUGGUUCCGCAUGGAAGGGCCAUCGCUCAACGGAUAAAAGCUACCCCGGGGAUAACAGGCUUAUCUCCCCCAAGAGUCCACAUCGACGGGGAGGUUUGGCACCUCGAUGUCGGCUCGUCGCAUCCUGGGGCUGUAGUCGGUCCCAAGGGUUGGGCUGUUCGCCCAUUAAAGCGGCACGCGAGCUGGGUUCAGAACGUCGUGAGACAGUUCGGUCCCUAUCCGUCGCGGGCGCAGGAAAUUUGAGAGGAGCUGUCCUUAGUACGAGAGGACCGGGAUGGACACACCGCUGGUGUACCAGUUGUUCCGCCAGGAGCAUCGCUGGGUAGCUAUGUGUGGCAGGGAUAAACGCUGAAAGCAUCUAAGCGUGAAGCCCCCCUCAAGAUGAGAUUUCCCAUUUCUUCGGAAAGUAAGAUCCCUGAAAGAUGAUCAGGUAGAUAGGUUUGGAGUGGAAGUGUAGCGAUACAUGGAGCGGACAAAUACUAAUCGAUCGAGGACUUAACCAA